rnacentral:tRNA from 1 species
GUUUGGGUAGCUCAGUGGUAGAGCAGAAGACUGAAAAUCUUUGUGUCAAAGGUUCAAUUCCUUUUCUAGACA